CAGCGACGCUGAGAGAGAUUGACGGAAGCCAGUGAAGCGCGUGAGAGAAGCGGAGCCGAUUUCCGUCACCGCCACCGCACCCAGUCGCCACCGGUGGAGCUCGCUGUCCCUGGAGGUGAAUCGGUGUCGUGUCCUUGCUGCCAGGGCCACCAGCGUUACUGCUACUCCUCAAAUUCCACUUCUUUUCCUUUGGGGGUUUCUACCGCAAAUUCCACCCCCAACAUCACCAUCCUUCUUGUAUUCGUUGGGGAAUUUCUUACUUCUUAGUUUUCUGAUUUUUCAGAGCUGAAUAUGAUCCUAAGAGUGACUUAUGGGAUCAAGAGUUCAUGCUGAGAGGGAAAUGGUAUCAACGGAAGGAUGUAGAGGUAAAGUUUGCAAUCCAAUACAUGCGAAGAGCAAUUCAAAAGCUUUUGGGUUGCACUGAAGAAAAUCCAGAAGAAGGGAAAGGGUGCUGCCUAAUUGUUCUAUUCUCAUACUUGUAUUUUGGAUGAGAUGAAAUGAGUCUUAUAAUGACUUUAGUUAUCUACAUGUAAUAUUUUGAUGUCUUGUGUACUUUUUGAAGUGAGAUUUUACGUGUUAUUACAUGUAAUGGAUAAUUACACUCUAUUUUUAUUUGUGUUGUUUGGACUAAAAACAUAUCUAGCUUAUAAUAAAACUUUUAUGAUUUAGAUU